rnacentral:sRNA from 1 species
AUCUCCCAAAUGGAGAUCGGGAUUAGCACCCCGGAAGUUUAAGAGGCGACACCAGACGCGCCAGCGUCUUUUUA